rnacentral:lncRNA from 1 species
CUUGUGGUCCUCUGAACUAGCCAUUUUAUUGAUGCCCCAUCACAAACUGAAAAUAUGAUUGUGGUAGUCCGAAACUGAGCACCUAAAUAUGUUUGAAUCCGAUAUAUGCUAAUCAAAGAUAAUCAUCUGAUGUGAAAAGGUAUGUGUUUACUACGCAUGUUUUAUGAUCAUGAUAUUUUGUGGCAUACGAUUUAUAUAAGUACCAUCCAAUGAUAAUUUUUUAUUUAUUAUUAUUAUAUUUAUGUGGCUGUGUGAAAAUU